rnacentral:rRNA from 1 species
GAGCGACUGAUUAGAAGCUUGCUUCUAUGACGUUAGCGGCGGACGGGUGAGUAACACGUGGGCAACCUGCCUGUAAGACUGGGAUAACUUCGGGAAACCGAAGCUAAUACCGGAUAGGAUCUUCUCCUUCAUGGGAGAUGAUUGAAAGAUGGUUUCGGCUAUCACUUACAGAUGGGCCCGCGGUGCAUUAGCUAGUUGGUGAGGUAACGGCUCACCAAGGCAACGAUGCAUAGCCGACCUGAGAGGGUGAUCGGCCACACUGGGACUGAGACACGGCCCAGACUCCUACGGGAGGCAGCAGUAGGGAAUCUUCCGCAAUGGACGAAAGUCUGACGGAGCAACGCCGCGUGAGUGAUGAAGGCUUUCGGGUCGUAAAACUCUGUUGUUAGGGAAGAACAAGUACGAGAGUAACUGCUCGUACCUUGACGGUACCUAACCAGAAAGCCACGGCUAACUACGUGCCAGCAGCCGCGGUAAUACGUAGGUGGCAAGCGUUAUCCGGAAUUAUUGGGCGUAAAGCGCGCGCAGGCGGUUUCUUAAGUCUGAUGUGAA